UACGGAAGGCAGCAGUGGGGAAUAUUGCACAAUGGGCGCAAGCCUGAUGCAGCCAUGCCGCGUGUAUGAAGAAGGCCUUCGGGUUGUAAAGUACUUUCAGCGGGGAGGAAGGCGGUGAAGUUAAUAGCUUCACCGAUUGACGUUACCCGCAGAAGAAGCACCGGCUAACUCCGUGCCAGCAGCCGCGGUAAUACGGAGGGUGCAAGCGUUAAUCGGAAUUACUGGGCGUAAAGCGCACGCAGGCGGUCUGUCAAGUCGGAUGUGAAAUCCCCGGGCUUAACCUGGGAACUGCAUUCGAAACUGGCAGGCUAGAGUCUUGUAGAGGGGGUAGAAUUCCAGGUGUAGCGGUGAAAUGCGUAGAGAUCUGGAGGAAUACCGGUGGCGAAGGCGGCCCCUGGGACAAAGACUGACGCUCAGGGUGCGAAAGCGUGGGGAGCAAACGAGGAUUAGAUACC
rnacentral:rRNA from 1 species